rnacentral:lncRNA from 1 species
CGGGGAGCGGAGGAAGCGGAAAGGGCCCGGCGGGGUGCAGGAGUCGGUCUGGCCCCAGGAGGUCGCUGACAGUCAGGGGACUCUGGGUACCACUAUCCUGAAACCUAGGUACAACCAGGUUACACCUACUCUGCAAAGAUGGGAAAAUCUAAUGAAGUCCUCUAUGUCUUCUCUAAGACCAAACUACAACCAUCCAACAUGCAAGUCUUCAUGAGAGGAAAGACUGUGUCAUUAAGUAAAAGAGAAGGAGAAGCAGACAAGAAUAUGCUCGGACCACCGAGUGAAUUACAACAUCAAAACAAAGGAUGGUGUUGAGCUGUGCUGAGAAAGCAGAGACCCAGUCAAUCCGAAGGCUGUCUGGAGGGU